GACACCAAGAUCUGGAUGACUUCAUCACAGUGAAUUGUACAUUUGAGCAGCAUGACAGGAGAUACCAAGACCUAAAUGAUCUCAUCAAAGUGAAUCAUAUGUCUAACCAGCUCAGAAAGGAUGGAUGUCAGGACCUGGAGGAUCUCAUCAAGGUGAAUCCUAUAUCAAACCAGGAAGGCACAAA